AUACUUAGCUGACAGGAGGGAUACCAUGAUCGUGUAGGUAGCUUUCCCAAGGCGAGGCUUAUCCGUUAUACUCCAGAUGUGCUGACCCCUGUGAUUUCCCCAAAUGUCAGAAACUGAACUGUGUAAUUUGUGAUGGUGUGGAACUGUGUUCCUGCUUUCCCUG
ensembl:snRNA U1 U1 spliceosomal RNA